AGCUGGUUCAUUGCACUUUAUUCAAGCUGGUUCAUCUCAACAUACACAAAAUGCAACAAGCAGACAUUCAAAAAAAAUUUCAGUUGUUAAUCCAGGAAAAUCUAAUAAAUACGUAGUUGCAACAUCUAAUACUGAACGAUACAUUUCACUUGGUAAACUACAGGAAAUACAGCGUGAAAAAGCUAAGGACAAACUACAAUCUUCAAUUCGUGCAAGAGAUUCUACACCGUUUCCAACCCAAGAAAGCAUCAAUUACUCAUUGGA